rnacentral:rRNA from 1 species
AGUGAACGCUGGCGGCAGGCCUAACACAUGCAAGUCGAGCGGCAGCGGGUCCUUCGGGAUGCCGGCGAGCGGCGGACGGGUGAGGAAUACAUCGUAAUCUGCCCUGUCGUGGGGGAUAACCUCGGGAAACUUAGGCUAAUACCGCAUACGACCUACGGGUGAAAGCGGGGGAUCGCAAGACCUCGCGCGACAGGAUGAGCCGAUGUCCGAUUAGCUAGUUGGCGGGGUAAAGGGCCACCAAGGCGACGAUCGGUAGCUGGUCUGAGAGGAUGAUCCGCCACACUAGGAGUGAGACACGGCCCAGAAUCCUACGGGAGGCAGAAGUGGGGAAUAUUGGACAAUGGGCGAAAGACUGAUCCAGCCAUGCCGCGUGGGUGAGGAAGGCAUUCGGGUUGUAAAGCCCUUUUGUCAGGGAAGAAAUCGUCUGGGCUAAUACCCCGGGCGGAUGACGGUACCGGAAGAAUAAGAACCGGCUAACUUCGUG